UACGUAGGGUGCAAGCGUUAAUCGGAAUUACUGGGCGUAAAGCGUGCGCAGGCGGUUCGCUAAGACCGAUGUGAAAUCCCCGGGCUUAACCUGGGAACUGCAUUGGUGACUGGCGGGCUAGAGUAUGGCAGAGGGGGGUAGAAUUCCACGUGUAGCAGUGAAAUGCGUAGAGAUGUGGAGGAAUACCGAUGGCGAAGGCAGCCCCCUGGGCCAAUACUGACGCCUCAUGCACGAAAGCGUGGGGAGCAAACAGG
rnacentral:rRNA from 1 species